rnacentral:rRNA from 1 species
UUAAGCGACUAAGCGUACACGGUGGAUGCCCUGGCAGUCAGAGGCGAUGAAGGACGUGCUAAUCUGCGAUAAGCGUCGGUAAGGUGAUAUGAACCGUUAUAACCGGCGAUUUCCGAAUGGGGAAACCCAGUGUGAUUCGUCACACUAUCAUUAACUGAAUCCAUAGGUUAAUGAGGCGAACCGGGGGAACUGAAACAUCUAAGUACCCCGAGGAAAAGAAAUCAACCGAGAUUCCCCCAGUAGCGGCGAGCGAACGGGGAGCAGCCCAGAGCCUGAAUCAGUGUGUGUGUUAGUGGAAGCGUCUGGAAAGGCGUGCGAUACAGGGUGACAGCCCCGUACACAAAAAUGCACAUGCUGUGAGCUCGAUGAGUAGGGCGGGACACGUGGUAUCCUGUCUGAAUAUGGGGGGACCAUCCUCCAAGGCUAAAUACUCCUGACUGACCGAUAGUGAACCAGUACCGUGAGGGAAAGGCGAAAAGAACCCCGGCGAGGGGAGUGAAAAAGAACCUGAAACCGUGUACGUACAAGCAGUGGGAGCACGCUUAGGCGUGUGACUGCGUACCUUUUGUAUAAUGGGUCAGCGACUUAUAUUCUGUAGCAAGGUUAACCGAAUAGGGGAGCCGAAGGGAAACCGAGUCUUAACUGGGCGUUAAGUUGCAGGGUAUAGACCCGAAACCCGGUGAUCUAGCCAUGGGCAGGUUGAAGGUUGGGUAACACUAACUGGAGGACCGAACCGACUAAUGUUGAAAAAUUAGCGGAUGACUUGUGGCUGGGGGUGAAAGGCCAAUCAAACCGGGAGAUAGCUGGUUCUCCCCGAAAGCUAUUUAGGUAGCGCCUCGUGAAUUCAUCUCCGGGGGUAGAGCACUGUUUCGGCAAGGGGGUCAUCCCGACUUACCAACCCGAUGCAAACUGCGAAUACCGGAGAAUGUUAUCACGGGAGACACACGGCGGGUGCUAACGUCCGUCGUGAAGAGGGAAACAACCCAGACCGCCAGCUAAGGUCCCAAAGUCAUGGUUAAGUGGGAAACGAUGUGGGAAGGCCCAGACAGCCAGGAUGUUGGCUUAGAAGCAGCCAUCAUUUAAAGAAAGCGUAAUAGCUCACUGGUCGAGUCGGCCUGCGCGGAAGAUGUAACGGGGCUAAACCAUGCACCGAAGCUGCGGCAGCGACGCUUAUGCGUUGUUGGGUAGGGGAGCGUUCUGUAAGCCUGCGAAGGUGUGCUGUGAGGCAUGCUGGAGGUAUCAGAAGUGCGAAUGCUGACAUAAGUAACGAUAAAGCGGGUGAAAAGCCCGCUCGCCGGAAGACCAAGGGUUCCUGUCCAACGUUAAUCGGGGCAGGGUGAGUCGACCCCUAAGGCGAGGCCGAAAGGCGUAGUCGAUGGGAAACAGGUUAAUAUUCCUGUACUUGGUGUUACUGCGAAGGGGGGACGGAGAAGGCUAUGUUGGCCGGGCGACGGUUGUCCCGGUUUAAGCGUGUAGGCUGGUUUUCCAGGCAAAUCCGGAAAACUAAGGCUGAGGCGUGAUGACGAGGCACUACGGUGCUGAAGCAACAAAUGCCCUGCUUCCAGGAAAAGCCUCUAAGCAUCAGGUAACAUCAAAUCGUACCCCAAACCGACACAGGUGGUCAGGUAGAGAAUACCAAGGCGCUUGAGAGAACUCGGGUGAAGGAACUAGGCAAAAUGGUGCCGUAACUUCGGGAGAAGGCACGCUGAUAUGUAGGUGAAGCGACUUGCUCGUGGAGCUGAAAUCAGUCGAAGAUACCAGCUGGCUGCAACUGUUUAUUAAAAACACAGCACUGUGCAAACACGAAAGUGGACGUAUACGGUGUGACGCCUGCCCGGUGCCGGAAGGUUAAUUGAUGGGGUCAGCGCAAGCGAAGCUCUUGAUCGAAGCCCCGGUAAACGGCGGCCGUAACUAUAACGGUCCUAAGGUAGCGAAAUUCCUUGUCGGGUAAGUUCCGACCUGCACGAAUGGCGUAAUGAUGGCCAGGCUGUCUCCACCCGAGACUCAGUGAAAUUGAACUCGCUGUGAAGAUGCAGUGUACCCGCGGCAAGACGGAAAGACCCCGUGAACCUUUACUAUAGCUUGACACUGAACAUUGAGCCUUGAUGUGUAGGAUAGGUGGGAGGCUUGGAAGUGUGGACGCCAGUCUGCAUGGAGCCGACCUUGAAAUACCACCCUUUAAUGUUUGAUGUUCUAACGUUGACCCGUAAUCCGGGUUGCGGACAGUGUCUGGUGGGUAGUUUGACUGGGGCGGUCUCCUCCUAAAGAGUAACGGAGGAGCACGAAGGUUGGCUAAUCCUGGUCGGACAUCAGGAGGUUAGUGCAAUGGCAUAAGCCAGCUUGACUGCGAGCGUGACGGCGCGAGCAGGUGCGAAAGCAGGUCAUAGUGAUCCGGUGGUUCUGAAUGGAAGGGCCAUCGCUCAACGGAUAAAAGGUACUCCGGGGAUAACAGGCUGAUACCGCCCAAGAGUUCAUAUCGACGGCGGUGUUUGGCACCUCGAUGUCGGCUCAUCACAUCCUGGGGCUGAAGUAGGUCCCAAGGGUAUGGCUGUUCGCCAUUUAAAGUGGUACGCGAGCUGGGUUUAGAACGUCGUGAGACAGUUCGGUCCCUAUCUGCCGUGGGCGCUGGAGAACUGAGGGGGGCUGCUCCUAGUACGAGAGGACCGGAGUGGACGCAUCACUGGUGUUCGGGUUGUCAUGCCAAUGGCACUGCCCGGUAGCUAAAUGCGGAAGAGAUAAGUGCUGAAAGCAUCUAAGCACGAAACUUGCCCCGAGAUGAGUUCUCCCUGACUCCUUGAGAGUCCUGAAGGAACGUUGAAGACGACGACGUUGAUAGGCCGGGUGUGUAAGCGCAGCGAUGCGUUGAGCUAACCGGUACUAAUGAACCGUGAGGCUUAACCU